rnacentral:sRNA from 1 species
AAGAGAAGAAGAAGAAGGAAAAAAAAAG